rnacentral:lncRNA from 1 species
AAAAAAAUAAAGUUACAAUAAUAUAUAUGUUUUUGCUAAUGUAGGUAGCGUUAGCUAGCACUAGUUGGCUAUACCUGCGCUAAAACGAUGGUGGGAAUAUGGUAUGGUGGUAAUAUGGUAUGGUGGUAAUAUGGUAUGGUGGUAAUAUGGUAUGGUGGUAAUAUGGUAUGGUGGUAAUAUGGUAUGGUGAUAAUAUGGUAUGGUGGUAAUAUGGUAUGGUGAUAUUAUGGUAUGGUGGUAAUAUGGUAUGGUGAUAAUAGGGUAUGGUGGUUAUAUGGUAUGGUGGUAAUAUGGUAUGGUGAUAAUAGGGUAUGGUGAGGUCCCUCAGUAUGGUGGGAAUAUGGUAUGGUGAUAAUAUGGUAUGGUGAUAAUAUGGUAUGGUGGUAAUAUGGUAUGGUGGUAAUAUGGUAUGGUGAUAAUAUGGUAUGGUGAGGUCCCUCUGUAUGGUUAUAAUAUGGUAUGGUGAUAAUAUGGUAUGGUGGUAAUAUGGUAUGGUGAUAAUAUAGUAUGGUGGUAAUAUGGUAUGGUGGUAAUAUGGUAUGGUGGUAAUAUGGUAUGGUGAUAAUAUGGUAUGGUGGUAAUAUGGUAUGGUGGUAAUAUGGUAUGGUGAUAAUAUGGUAUGGUGAUAAUAUGGUAUGGUGGUAAUAUGGUAUGGUGGUAAUAUGGUAUGGUGAUAAUAGGGUAUGGUGGUAAUAUGGUAUGGUGGUAAUAUGGUAUGGUGAUAAUAUGGUAUGGUGGUAAUAUGGUAUGGUGAUAAUAUGGUAUGGUGGUAAUAUGGUAUGGUGAUAAUAUGGUAUGGUAAUAAUAUAGUAUGGUGGUAAUAUGGUAUGGUGAUAAUAUGGUAUGGUGAUAAUAUAGUAUGGUGGUAAUAUGGUAUGGUGGUAAUAUGGUAUGGUGGUAAUAUAGUAUGGUGGUAAUAUGGUAUGGUGAUAAUAUGGUAUGGUGGUAAUAUAGUAUGGUGGUAAUAUGGUAUGGUGGUAAUAUGGUAUGGUGGUAAUAUAGUAUGGUGGUAAUAUGGUAUGGUGGUAAUAUAGUAUGGUGAUAAUAUGGUAUGGUGAUAAUAUGGUAUGGUGAUAAUAUGGUAUGGUGGUAAUAUGGUAUGGUGGUAAUAUGGUAUGGUGGUAAUAUGGUAGGGUGAUAAUAUGGUAUGGUGGUAAUAUGGUAUGGUGGUAAUAUGGUAUGGUGGUAAUAUGGUAUUGUCGUGUCUUUGGGGUACCAUUAAACCGAAGACAUGUUUAUCAAUUAACUCCCUGUAAUUAUUAUCACGCGAUUAAACUGAUUAAUCGUUUAAUUGUAAUUAACUAGGAGAUCGGGGCACCAAGGAGAAUAUUCAGAUUACAAAGUUAUAAUUUUCCUAAUAUAACUUUCCUAUUUUAUAAUAUAGGCCGAUUAUCUUCUGGUUUAAAUGGUGUAUUUUACCUCGUGUUCACUCUCAUUCCAAACGUCGUAAAUUGUUGUAUCUGCACGAACCCAGUCUUUACUAAAAUCAUCCAUACAUCAAUUGUCUUAAAAUCAUUUAUUUACUACACUAAGUAAUUAACAGAAAACAUAC